AGACAUCUGGGACAAGAUUGUAGACCUGCGCCAGGCUGGAAUGGGCUACAAGACCAUUGGCAAGAAGCUGGGUGAGAAGGAGACAACUGUUGGUGCGAUUAUCCGAAAUUGGAAGAAACGCCAAAUGACCGCCUAACUUCCUCUAUCUGGGGCUCCAGGCAAGAUCUCACCUUGUGGGGUAUCAAUGAUCAGGAGAAAGGUGAGUGAUCAGCCCAGAACUACACGGGAGGAGCUUGUUAAUAAUCUCAAGGCAGCUGGGACCACAGUCACCAAGAAAACCAUUGGUAACACACUAGACCGUAAUGGCUUAAAAUCCAGCAGCGCCGGAUCCCUCUGCUCAAGUAGGCCCAUGUAUAGACUCGUCUGAAGUUUGCCAAUGAACAUCUGAAUGAUUCAGAGAAUGCUUGGGAGAAGGCGAUGUGGUCAGAUGAGAC